GGCCCUCUCCAGGCCAGAUGCGCAGCUGGAGUGGAAGUCACUGAGAGCGGCUAGCAGACAGCAGCGAGUGCUCAGGGGCCUGUGUGCUCUCGGGCACUGCCGGCCACUCGUGGCAUUCUCCCUCACAGCCCUUGGCUCAGAGCACCUCACUGAAGCCAAGAGUUGGGGGUCCAAAGCCUUCCCAGACAAAGCUUCUAGGAGGAGAAACAGGACAGCACAAACCAAACACACCACAGCAACAGCCAAAUGGAACUGAAUUAAUUUGCUAUAACACAGAGGAGAUAUACAGCUUUGCUUAUCUGCUGCCACCCAGUGCCCCAUGGGGAGUCUGACCAGAAACCGCAUCAGUUUCCUUCAGCCUCAGCUCAACAUUUUUGGGGUCAAGUAACCCUUUGAGAAUCUGCUUAUAUGUGGCCCAAGUUUUUGAAAACACCCAUGGGUACUCCAAGGCAAAGAAUCUCCCCCCCUUUCAGAAGAUCCAAGAAUCUAAAUUUUAGAUUGGGAGGGUGUCUUCACUCCAAGCCUUGAUUUCCUGAGGCUCAGGGAUGAGUGCAAACACCUCCCAAUUGCAACUGGGAUGUGGCCAGAAGGUUAUAAAGCUGCCUGGGUGGGACCACAACAGAACUCCAAGCACAAAUUCCUCAUCCUAUAAAACAUACUAGAUGUAGCGGGGACAUUUCGCAUCCAUAGGAGAAGGGGCAGAAGGCUCGAUAAACAGCACUGGGAUAGAUGUUUGCUACUUCAGCUUCUGCUCCUUAACAAACCACCACAAAGCUUACCGGUUUAGCACAAUCAUUCAUGUGCUCAUGAUUCUGUGGGUGAACAAUUUGGCUUGCUCAAUAGGACAGUGAUUUUACUGGUUUCACCUGUGCAUCUGGUAGUUGGCUGCAUGAUAGAGGCAGCGUGACCACUUUCCCCCAGCAUGCAGCAGGGUUAUCCAAGUUUGGCAAGCAUGCAGCAGUUUGGUUCUGGCUUCGUCAAAUGGCAGCUGGUCUCCAAAGGCAGCCAGAGAGAUCAAGUUCUAAUACACAAACACUCUGUAGCCUCAGUCCAUCACAUUUGUAAUAUCUCAUUGGCCAAAGCAAGUCACAUGGCCAAGCCUAGAUUCAGGGGUGGAAAUAUGAACCCCAUCUCUUCAAGAGAGAGGAGGCAAAAGGUACAUGAGAGGUUUGGGAGCAAUUUGUGGGCACAUGUUUUUUUUACAACCUACCACAUUUAGCCUUUGAUAAAGGAAGUAACUUAAAAGUUGCCUCAAUUAGGGCAUUCACCAAAAUGUACUUCCAAUUGGAGUAAAGUUUAAAUGUAAAAAAUAAAACUGUGGCUGUAUUGGUGGAUACUUCUAUGCCAUUGGAGGAGAAAAGGCUCUUAUGGCACAAAUUUAAAGUCAGAAACCAUAAAGAAAAAGUUAUUUUUGACAUGCAUUUGUAACAAUUAAAAUUAUUCAUUAAAAAUCACGAACAAAAAAGAUAAAAUGUAAA